UACGUAGGUACCGAGCGUUAUCCGGAUUUACUGGGCGUAAAGGGCGCGUAGGCGGCCAGCACAAGUCAGUUGUGAAAUCUCCGAGCUUAACUCGGAAAGGUCAACUGAUACUGUGCGGCUAGAGUGCGGAAGGGGCAACUGGAAUUCUUGGUGUAGCGGUGAAAUGCGUAGAUAUCAAGAGGAACACCUGCGGCGAAGGCGGGUUGCUGGGCCGACACUGACGCUGAGGCGCGAAAGCCAGGGGAGCGAACGGG
rnacentral:rRNA from 1 species